ACGGCAUUUUCUUUAAACAUUUCCUUCAUGUUCAUAUUGAAUGCAAGUUGCGCCUUUCAUUAGCGUUCAUUAUUGACCACAUAGGUCAAAUUACAUAAGCUGAUUUCCAUUGGUUGUUCUAAGCAUUUAUUUGAGGCGUUUUAAAGCGUUCACUAAUUGAUCUUACCCCGCGCAUUAAUUGUACAUGUAUUUUGCGUUUUCAGCGUCAUAUCUACUUGUUCCGCGCGUCAUUUGAAUCUUGCGUUGUGAUUGUUAUGUCAGCACCCAGGCCAUAGACUUGUCAAUGUUUUAUGGUUAUUGCGAUCUUAGAAUAUCUAGGGCAAUAGUUGUUUUCAGAAUUCACAUUGUGUUCUUAGAUUUUCCCCGUGCCAAGCAUGUCUUCAUGAAACUAGUACAUGUAGUUCUUUUUAAGUUCCUUUAACUACUGAAGCAUUUAGAUUUUUAGCCGCAAUGAAUGUAUGCAUUACUGUUAACCAAUUUUCAUUUCUCGAUUUAUCGAAGAUGAAUUUGUUCUAGAGGACUAACUUUCGCGAUGAAGAUGUAGAUUAUCUGAACAAUUGUUUUCCAGAGACAUUUAAUGGCAUGUUCGCGGAGAGAAAAAAUUGCGAACCUCGCGAAAUUUUCUCGCACGCGAAUGGAACUUGAUUUACAGUAUUUGCAGGAUGUUUUAUUCAUAUUUUCAUAAGAUAUAUUUGAUUAUAAUUUUUCAUCUAUUCUUGAUCAAAAACCUAAUCAUCAAUGUGUCCAUCAAAUAGUAAUCAUCGUUAGGGCGUAUUUUAACAUGUAUACUUUGCUAUUCAUUGAACAUAUGUAUCGGACAAAGGAGAUAUAUACAAUAUUACUGAUUUUAUUAUUAAUAACACAUGCAGUAACAUGGAAGUAUUUCAGCGGAAUUUUUUUGUUGUUUUCCGUUGGUUUUUUGUGUAUUUUGUGUGUGUGUUUUUGUGUUUGUGUGUGUUUUUUUGUUUGUUUUUUUUGUUUUUGUUUUUUUUUUAUCAUAAUUAUAUGUACGUACAUAUUUAUUUUUCCUUUUAAUGUUGAAUAUACUUAUACUUUC
rnacentral:sRNA from 1 species